rnacentral:rRNA from 1 species
UACGGAGGGUGCAAGCGUUGUUCGGAAUUAUUGGGCGUAAAGGGUGCGCAGGCGGUUUUGUAAGACAGAUGUGAAAUCCCCGGGCUCAACCUGGGAACUGCAUUUGAAACUGCCAGGCUUGAGUAUGUGAGAGGUGUGCGGAAUUCCUGGUGUAGCGGUGGAAUGCGUAGAUAUCAGGAGGAACACCGGUGGCGAAGGCGACUUUCUGGCCCGAUACUGACGCUCAGGCGCGAAAGCGUGGGGAGCAAACAGG